AUACGUAGGUGGCAAGCGUUGUCCGGAAUUAUUGGGCGUAAAGCGCGCGCAGGUGGUUCCUUAAGUCUGAUGUGAAAGCCCCCGGCUCAACCGGGGAGGGUCAUUGGAAACUGGGGAACUUGAGUGCAGAAGAGGAUAGUGGAAUUCCAAGUGUAGCGGUGAAAUGCGUAGAGAUUUGGAGGAACACCAGUGGCGAAGGCGACUUUCUGGUCUGUAGCUGACACGGAGGCGCGAAAGAGUGGGGAGAAAACAGGAUUAGAUCCCCUGGGAGUCCACGCCGUAAACGAUGAGUGCUAAGUGUUGGGGGGUUUCCGCCCCUCAGUGCUGCAGCUAACGCAUUAAGCACUCCGCCUGGGGAGUACGGUCGCAAGACUGAAACUCAAAGGAAUUGACGGGG
rnacentral:rRNA from 1 species